AAACAAUCGCUGAUGAGGAAUAGUAGUUUUGACUGGACAUGUAGAGAGCCGGCGGGUGGUGCAAGCCGGUUGACAGUGCAAAGCGAACUCACCUCGGAGAUAUGCGUCCAACGCAGGAAAGCACUAUAUCGGUGUUAGCAUUCUGUUAUUAACAUGCAUCGGAUCACCUCCGUUAUCAGGUGCAAAGGGAGUAGAAUGCGAAGAACGCUUUCUGCUAACUAGGGUGGUACCACGGGAAUAUAACCUCUCGUCCCUAGC
rnacentral:ncRNA from 1 species